rnacentral:snRNA from 1 species
GUGCUCAUGUCAGCAGCACAUAUACUAAAUCCUGGAAUGAUACCGAGACGCUUCGCGUGGCCCUUGGGCAGGACAGCACGCACGUUUGUGGAGCGUUCCCAUAUUUU